UACGUAGGUGGCAAGCGUUGUCCGGAUUUACUGGGCGUAAAGGGCGCGUAGGCGGCCUGCUAAGUCGAACGUGAAAUCCCCGGGCUCAACCCAGGAACUGCGUCCGAUACUGGUUGGCUUGAAUCCGGGAGAGGGAUGUGGAAUUCCAGGUGUAGCGGUGAAAUGCGUAGAUAUCUGGAGGAACACCGGUGGCGAAGGCGACAUCCUGGACCGGUAUUGACGCUGAGGUGCGAAAGCCAGGGGAGCAAACGGG
rnacentral:rRNA from 1 species